CAGCGUUCCAUUGGAAAUGAAUGUACUUCUGGUGUAUCGAAACGCAAAAACACAGUCGGUGUGUUCGAAGCGUUAGAACGCAGAUGCUGGUUGGCGCGCGCGAGCAGUGGGAACACUCUGGCACUGUUCCCCGGGCAAGCCUAUCAGAUGGCCGUGUCUUGGCAGGUGAUACUGCACGUGUGAGAGCACACUCUGCACGUCAACAAUGCCACUUCAGCAGAUAAUGGUGUCUCCUGGCCUGAAGGAAGUUCACACCGUCUGUCUGGUGCCACCUGCUGAGAUGACGGAUGGGUGUGAAGAGCAAAACAUCUGGACUGAGGAUGUGCGGCCUCCUGGCUGCUGAUGCUGCUGCUGCUGCUGCCCAGCUGUGUGUGGCCUGCCUGGGCCAGCCUGGGCUCUGAUUACUGGCCAUCUGCAGCAGCAG
rnacentral:lncRNA from 1 species